rnacentral:lncRNA from 1 species
CAACGCGGGGCUCGGUGCUGACCUCGGUGCUGGCCCAGGGCUUCGGAUGUACUUAAUACCUUGUAGGAUAAGCUCACUGAUGAAAAUGAGCAGUUAGUCAAGAAGGUGAAAAAACUACAUAUAAAAAAUAAGGAGCUAGAAAAGAAUCUGGGUCAGAUUCAAGAUCAACUGCAUCUGCAGCAGUUAAUGCAUGUCUGUGGCACAAGCAGAGAUGUUCAAGUUCAGACAGAAACCCAUUUAUGGCAUAAGGGUGGAGGCAGCAAGGAUCUGGUUCUAGAGAGUGACAGUGUCAGACUACUUCAGAUGUUUAAUGAGCUACAGAAACGUUAUGUUAAAGAAACCAAAAUAAACAAGGAGCAAAGUGAAGCAAUUAAAAAUCUCACUAUUAAAAUUAAUGAGCUAGAGCAUAAUCUUCAAGAGCAAAAGCAAAAAAUUGAGAAACUGGAACAUAAAAAGGUUUCUUGGAAAACUAAUGCUGUUUCUGGAAAACGAAGUCAAACCCCAGAGGGAGGAGUAAUUUCUCACAGGGACAUUUCUGCAAAGGAGUCCUGUUGCAGUAGAUAUUUAGAGCUAUUGUUGAAGGAGAUUAAAAAGCUGAAGAAAGAAAAUGGAAAGUUGUCUGCAGAAAAGAGAGCACUAAAAAAUGAAUUAGCUGGAUUAGACAAGGAUUUUUUUGAAGAGGUGGAAGAUUUAAAACAUGCUGUACAGGAAUCUAUGAAACUGAACAAUGAGUAUGAAAAGUGCUUGAAACAAAUAAGUGUAAUAUAUGGACUUCCUUUUACAGCACAUUUGUAACUACCGGCUAAUUUAAUGCCAGGUAGAUUUUUCCACAUAUUUUUUAUACUUACUGCAACAUUUAAACCUACCAUUGCUUAAGUGGUAAAAACCACAGUUUGAUAAUAUAGAUUCAGUAAUGUGAUCUCAAUAUAACAAGUGCUUGGAAAUGUUGUAUUUUGUGACCUUGAUUUUUUUUUUUUUUGUUUAUAUAUUUUUAAAUAAACUGUGAUCUGCAUAACUUCA